GUCUACGGCCAUGCCACCCUGAACAAGCCCGAUGUCUGAUCUUGGAAGCUGAGCAGGGUCGGGCAUGGUUAGUACUUGGAUGGGAGACCACCUGGGAAGACCAGGUGCUGUAGGCA
rnacentral:rRNA from 1 species